rnacentral:rRNA from 1 species
AUUGAACGCUGGCGGCAUGCUUUACACAUGCAAGUCGAACGGUAACAGGCCGCCAGGUGCUGACGAGUGGCGAACGGGUGAGUAAUGCAUCGGAACGUGCCCAGUCGUUGGGGAUAACUACUCGAAAGAGUAGCUAAUACCUCAUACGAUCUAUGGUUGAAAGCUGGGGACCGUAAGGCCUCGCGCGAUUGGAGCGGCCGAUGUCAGAUUAGGUAGUUGGUGGGGUAAAGGCUCACCAAGCCAACGAUCUGUAGCUGGUCUGAGAGGACGAACCGCCACACUGGGACUGAGACACGGCCCAGACUCCUACGGGAGGCAGCAGUGGGGAAUUUUGGACAAUGGGCGAAAGCCUGAUCCAGCAAUGCCGCGUGAAGGAAGAAGGCCUUCGGGUUGUAAAAUGCUUUUGUACGGAACGAAACGGCUCUGGUGAAUACCCGGGGAUAAUGACGGUACCGAAAGAAUAAGCACCGGCUAACUACGUG